rnacentral:rRNA from 1 species
CGGGAUUGCCCCAGUAACGGCGAGUGAAGCGGCAGCAGCUCAAAUUUGAAAUCCGACCUCGCCCGGGGUCUGAGUUGUAAUUUGUAGAGGAUGCUUCGGGUGACGGUCCCGCCUAAGUCCUUUGGAACACGGUGUCAUAGAGGGUGAGAAUCCCGUCUGUGGUGGGUACCUGACCUCGUCAGAAGCUCCUUCGACGAGUCGAGUUGUUUGGGAAUGCAGCUCUAAACGGGUGGUAAAUUUCAUCUAAAGCUAAAUACCGGCCGGAGACCGAUAGCGCACAAGUAGAGUGAUCGAAAGAUGAAAAGCACUUUGGAAAGAGAGUCAAACAGUAUGUGAAAUUGUUGAAAGGGAAGCGCCUGCGACCAGACCUGUCUGCGGGCGAUCACCCGCCGUUCUCGGCGGGGUAGUCGCCCGUCAGCAGGCCAGCGUCGGUUUCGGCGGCCGGACAAAGCCCCCGGGAACUGUACCUACCCUCCGGGGAAGGCUUAUAGCCCGGGGUGGAAUACGGCCAGCCGGGACCGAGGACCGCGCUUCGGCUAGGACGCUGGCGUAAUGGCCGUAGGCGGCCCGUCUUGAAACACGGACCAAGGAGUCUAACAUCUAUGCGAGUGUUUGGGUGUCAAACCCACGCGCGCAAUGAAAGUGAACGGAGGUGGGAACCCUUCCGGGCGCACCAUGGACCGAUCCAGAUGUCUUCGGAUGGAUUUGAGUAUGAGCAUAGCCGUUAGGACCCGAAAGACGGUGAACUACACAUGGAUAGGGUGAAGCCAGAGGAAACUCUGGUGGAGGCUCGCAGCGGUUCUGACGUGCAAAUCGAUCGUCAAAUCAGUGUGUAGGGGCGAAAGACUAAUCGAACCGUCUGGUAGCUGGUUUCGGCCGAAGUUUCCCUCAGGAUAGCAGUAACGUGUUCAGUUUUAUGAGGUAAAGCGAAUGAUUAGAGGCCUUGGGGGCGUAACGCCCUUAACCUAUUCUCAAACUUUAAAUAUGUAAGAAGUCCUUGUUGCUUGGUUGAACGCGGACAUUUGAAUGCACCGUUACUAGUGGGCCAUUUUUGGUAAGCAGAACUGGCGAUGCGGGAUGAACCGAACGUGAGGUUAAGGUGCCGGAAUGCACGCUCAUCAGACACCACAAAAAGUGUUAAUUCAUCCAGACAGCCGGACGGUGGCCAUGGAAGUCGGAACCCGCUAAGGAGUGUGAGCGUCGGCGUGCCUCAUCUUAGAUUUUUAAAAUCUAAUAUCACAACGCAAAAUUGUACGUUUUUACAUGCUCCUGAGAGUUUGUGGUGAACUAGAGUUGAUGGAUUGAAGUCUUGAUUCAUCCAGCACUCAAUCGUUCUAAAGUCGUGGAGGGGUGGCGGCAGCUGCACAUCACGAGCCUGGUUUAUCUUGACUGAUGGGCAGGUUGACAGACUAAACGGAACGGGUCCCCCUGGGAUCGUAAUAUAGUCGUCCUCGAAACCUAAAGGUCUCGGCGUCGGAUAGGGGGCUGCUCGCAAGACAGUUGGGUGAUAACCCUUCCCCCGUAGGUUGCCCCCUUGAAACCUUGGAACCUGGGCCUGGACACAGUAACGUCGCUGUGUCAAACUCGGGCUCGGUGGCUUCAUGGUGUUUACAACCCCUAAGUCCUUGGGGUUGUCCCUGAUGUAUUCUUGGUUGACUUGAAUCGUUGGGGCGACUGAUAUCCAACUGGCGGUGUAAAAACCCACCGGCCGAAUGAACUAGCCUUGAAAAUGGAUGGCGCUCAAGCGUGCUACCCAUACCUCACCGCCAGGGUAGAAUCAAAGCCCUGGCGAGUAGGCCGACGUGGAGGUCCGUGACGAAGC